rnacentral:rRNA from 1 species
UGGGCGUAAGAGCUCGUANGCGGUUUGUCGCGUCUGCUGUGAAAUCCCGAGGCUCAACCUCGGGCCUGCAGUGGGUACGGGCAGACUAGAGUGCGGUAGGGGAGAUUGGAAUUCCUGGUGUAGCGGUGGAAUGCGCAGAUAUCAGGAGGAACACCGAUGGCGAAGGCAGAUCUCUGGGCCGUAACUGACGCUGAGGAGCGAAAGGGUGGGGAGCAAACAGGCUUAGAUACCCUGGUAGUCCACCCCGUAAACGUUGGGAACUAGUUGUGGGGUCCAUUCCACGGAUUCCGUGACGCAGCUAACGCAUUAAGUUCCCCGCCUGGGGAGUACGGCCGCAAGGCUAAAACUCAAAGGAAUUGACGGGGACCCGCACAAGCGGCGGAGCAUGCGGAUUAAUUCGAUGCAACGCGAAGAACCUUACCAAGGCUUGACAUAUUCGAGAACGCCGUAGAAAUACGGAACUCUUUGGACACUCGUAUACAGGUGGUGCAUGGUUGUCGUCAGCUCGUGUCGUGAGAUGUUGGGUUAAGUCCCGCAACGAGCGCAACCCUCGUUCUAUGUUGCCAGCACGUAAUGGUGGGAACUCAUGGGAUACUGCCGGGGUCAACUCGGAGGAAGGUGGGGAUGACGUCAAAUCAUCAUGCCCCUUAUGUCUUGGGCUUCACGCAUGCUACAAUGGCCGGUACAAAGGGCUGCAAUACCGUGAGGUGGAGCGAAUCCCAAAAAGCCGGUCCCAGUUCGGAUUGAGGUCUGCAACUCGACCUCAUGAAGUCGGAGUCGCUAGUAAUCGCAGAUCAGCAACGCUGCGGUGAAUACGUUCCCGGGUCUUGUACACACCGCCCGUCAAGUCAUGAAAGUCGGUAACACCUGAAGCCGGUGGCCUAACCCUUG